GACGUAGGGGGCGAGCGUUGUCCGGAAUUACUGGGCGUCAAGCGCGUGUAGGCGGGCUAGUAGGCGGCGUGUGAAAGGUGAGGGCUCAACCCUCAUAGGACGCGCCGAACCGCUAGUCUUGGGACGGCGAGGGGCAACUGGAAUGGUCGGAGGAGCGGUGAAAUGCGUAGAGCCCGAUCAGAACACCGGUGGCGAAGGCGGGUUGCUGGAGCCGGGCCGGACGCUGAGACGCGAAAGCGCGGGGAGCGAACGGG
rnacentral:rRNA from 1 species